UGUUGGCCUACGGCCCGAUUGUAUGCCUGAUGCGUAGCGUUUAUCGUUUUCGCGUCAGACGAUCGGUCGCCCGGCCGGCUGCCCGGCGGUAUAGAAUAUUUUAAUACGGUAUUGGGCCGCACUAAGUGCGUUCAGGCUCGUCGGCAGAUUCGUCUCGCUCGGAGUUACGGACGGACCUAGUGCCGUUGUCGGGCGCUUGACGAGUCGUUAGUCGACGGUGUUCCUCGGACUGGCUCCCACAUUCGAAACGGAUAUACCGGUCGGCGACGCUACCGCUUUGGGUACUUUCAGGACCCGUCUUGAAACACGGACCAAGGAGUCUAACAUGUACGCGAGUCAUUGGGACUUUUUGUAAGCCUAAAGGCGUAAUGAAAGUGAAGGUCGUCCUUAGGCGUCACAGAGGACGGAUGGCUCGUCGUUACGAUGCGAGCUCGCACUCCCGGGGCGUCUCGUGCUCAUUGCGAGCAGAGGCGCACCCAGAGCGUACACGUUGGGACCCGAAAGAUGGUGAACUAUGCCUGGUCAGGACGAAGUCAGGGGAAACCCUGAUGGAGGUCCGUAGCGAUUCUGACGUGCAAAUCGAUCGUCGGAACUGGGUAUAGGGGCGAAAGACUAAUCGAACCAUCUAGUAGCUGGUUCCCUCCGAAG
rnacentral:rRNA from 1 species